UUAAUGGAGAGUUUGAUCCUGGCUCAGGACGAACGCUGGCGGCGUGCUUAACACAUGCAAGUCGAACGGAGAUUAAGUUGAAACCUAGUGAUACUUAAACUUAGUGGCGGACGGGUGAGUAACGCGUGGAUAACCUGCCUGAUAGCCCGGGAUAACAGCUGGAAACGGCUGCUAAUACCGGAUACGCUAAUCGGAACGCAUGUUCUGAUUAGGAAAGCUUUAGUACUAUCAGAUGGAUCCGCGUCCCAUUAGCUAGUUGGUGGUGUAAUGGACCACCAAGGCGACGAUGGGUAGCCGGCCUGAGAGGGCGAACGGCCACACUGGGACUGAGACACGGCCCAGACUCCUACGGGAGGCAGCAGUGGGGAAU
rnacentral:rRNA from 1 species